rnacentral:rRNA from 1 species
CGAAUGAACUAGCCCUGAAAAUGGAUGGCGCUCAAGCGUGUUACUUAUACCCCUCCGCUGGGGCAAAAUUUACGCCCCAGCGAGUAGGCAGGCGUGGAGGUCCGUGACGAAGCCUUGGGGGUGACCCCGGGUAGAACGGCCUCUAGUGCAGAUCUUGGUGGUAGUAGCAAAUACUCAAAUGAGAACUUUGAGGACUGAAGUGGGGAAAGGUUCCGUGUGAACAGCAGUUGGACACGGGUUAGUCGAUCCUAAGCCAUAGGGAAACUCCGUUUUAAAGUGCGCUCUCGGGCGCCGCCUGGCGAAAGGGAAACCGGUUAAUAUUCCGGUACCUCGAUGUGGAUUAUCCGCGGCAACGCAACUGAAGGUGGAGACGUCGGCGGGGGCCCCGGGAAGAGUU